rnacentral:rRNA from 1 species
GUCGAACGGUAACUUCUUGGUGCUUGCACCGAAAGACGAGCGGCGAACGGGUGCGUAACGCGUAUGCAAUCUACCUUUUACUAGGGUAUAGCCCAGAGAAAUUUGGAUUAAUCCCCUAUAUUAUCAUUUAAUCGCAUGAUUUUAUGAUUAAAGCUUCGGCGGUAAAAGAUGAGCAUGCGUCCUAUUAGUUAGUAGGUGAGGUAACGGCUCACCUAGACUCCGAUAGGUAGGGGUCCUGAGAGGGAGAUCCCCCACACUGGUACUGAGACACGGACCAGACUCCUACGGGAGGCAGCAGUGAGGAAUAUUGGACAAUGGACGAAAGUCUGAUCCAGCUAUGCCGCGUGCAGGAUGACGGCCCUAUGGGUUGUAAACUGCUUUUAUACAGGAAGAAAAACUCCGACGUGUCGGAACUUGACGGUACUGUAAGAAUAAGGAUCGGCUAACUCCGUGCCAGCAGCCGCGGUAAUACGGAGGAUCCAAGCGUUAUCCGGAAUCAUUGGGUUUAAAGGGUCCGUAGGCGGUUUUUUAAGUCAGAGGUGAAAUCCUGCAGCUCAACUGUAUAAUUGCCUUUGAUACUGAUAGACUUGAGUUAUUGUGAAAUGUUUAGA